rnacentral:rRNA from 1 species
GUGCCAGCCGCCGCGGUAAUACCGGCAGCCCGAGUGAUGGCCGAUCUUAUUGGGCCUAAAGCGUCCGUAGCUGGCCGAGCAGGUCCGUCGGGAAAUCCACGCGCUCAACGCGUGGGCGUCCGGCGGAAACCACUCGGCUUGGGGCCGGAAGGCUCGAAGGGUACGUUCGGGGUAGGAGUGAAAUCCCAUAAUCCCGCACGGACCACCGAUGGCGAAAGCACUUCGAGAAAACGGAUCCGACAGUGAGGGACGAAAGCCAGGGUCUCCAACCGGAUUAGAAACCCGAGUAGUCC